GACGAACGCUGGCGGCGUGCUUAACACAUGCAAGUCGAGCGGUAAGGCCCUUUCGGGGGUACACGAGCGGCGAACGGGUGAGUAACACGUGGGUGACCUGCCCUCAGCUCUGGGAUAAGCCUGGGAAACCGGGUCUAAUACUGGAUAUGACUCCAUGACGCAUGUUGUGGGGUGGAAAGCCUUGUGCGGCUGAGGAUGGGCCCGCGGCCUAUCAGCUUGUUGGUGGGGUGANGGCCUACCAAGGCGACGACGGGUAGGCGGCCUGAGAGGGCGACCGGCCACACUGGGACUGAGACACGGCCCAGACUCCUACGGGAGGCAGCAGUGGGGAAUCUUGCGCAAUGGGCGAAAGCCUGACGCAGCGACGCCGCGUGAGGGAUGACGGCCUCGG
rnacentral:rRNA from 1 species